rnacentral:rRNA from 1 species
UACGGAGGGAGCUAGCGUUGUUCGGAAUUACUGGGCGUAAAGCGCGCGUAGGCGGCUUUGUAAGUUAGAGGUGAAAGCCCGGGGCUCGACCCCGGAAUUGCCUUUGAGACUGCAUCGCUAGAAUUGUGGAGAGGUAAGUGGAAUUCCGAGUGUAGAGGUGAAAUUCGUAGAUAUUCGGAAGAACACCAGUGGCGAAGGCGACUUACUGGACACAUAUUGACGCUGAGGUGCGAAAGCGUGGGGAGCAAACAGG